UGGGCCUGUUGGCGAUGGCGCUGGCUGGCCGCUUCCUGCCCGCCGAUCGGCCGCGGGCGGCGGCCGGCGCGCGGUUCGAUGCCGCGGGCACGC
rnacentral:tRNA from 3 species